AAAUGAUUAAGUUGUUGUGCUACAGAUUCCGUACUUUAUUGAGACUACCUUAUCACAUAUUCACCAGUUAAGGAUCAAUAAAAUGCCUGAGAACGUAAGGAGGUGACAUAGGUUUACAGUUUAGACUAUUAGAAAGUACAGAAUCUGUAGCACAACAACUUAAUCAUUUACACUGAAUAAUGUUACAACAAUGCAUACACUGCCUGCUAAUCAUCUACAAAAGCUUGAAAUCUGAAUCUGCUGAUGGUGUAACAGACUCUGGAUGAUGGGGCAUAAAACUUCCAGUCUUCAGCUAGUGAUCUGAAGAGUUUUCAUCAGCAUAUCCAGAUUGUAGCUGUCCUUCAGAAUUGAAGUGCUCAAGUUAUCUCACCUAUAACUUCUUCCCUGAACCAGAAGAGGUGUGUUUCGCGCGCUUCAAAGACUUCUUUUCAAGCUCCAUUUGGGCAUCCAUGAACAUGUUCAUCCUUUCGAAUUCUAGUUCCUUAGUGAACUCCAUUCUCUGCUU
rnacentral:misc_RNA from 1 species